UUUAGGUUCAGUGACGUGUCAUGGAAAUAUGGUGAAGAACGUGAACUGUCCUAAAGAUCAGUACAUGGUGGUUAAAAAUGCAUCGUACCGUGGAUUGCCUGCCACAAAGACAUGUGGUUUGAGUGACGAUUAUAGUUGUGAAGCUAAUGUAACAUGUAUUGUUAAGAAAGAAUGUGAUGGUCAACAUGAGUGCAAAUUAAUUGUGGAUGACAAGUUGUUCUCUGGUUAUCUGUGCACUGAAUUGAAAAAAUAUCUUUACUUUGAAUAUCAAUGCGUUGAUACAGCGACGCCUUUUAAAGAACAUUGUGCUGUGUAUACUGAGUACUGCCAAUAGAGAGGUUUAAAUUUUACCUCC
rnacentral:lncRNA from 1 species